CGCAAAGCAGCAUGGCGGCAAAAGUUCCCUCCAACAAAGCACCCCAAACAAACAGCCUCGUCAAUGUCCUCGCCAUUGCGACCGAUCAGUUAGAUAUUUCUCUCAGCGAAUGAUCAGAUUCUAAAAGGUUAUUAUUUUGAAAAGCAUAUGAUUAGAAAUGUGCACACUAUAUGGCCAGUGCCAAUUUCCAUCCUCCAACUUGCUUGAAGACGCAGGUGAAAGCACAGCUCCAAUUAACAUGAACUGAACGCGGAGCAGGGGUGAGGGUAGUGACACUCACAUAAGGGGGCAUCUGGCGCACAACUGCUGUUGCUCCAUGAGUUUGACCCAAGUGAGCUUUGCUGGCCAGCAAUGCAAGCCGUGGAGUCGCUCUCGUAUUGAUUACUUUCAAAUUGAGGCCUGAAAAAGGACAUGAAUGGACUGCCUGCUCCAUUAACAUCUCCUUGCCUAGUACCAUCUAAAGAAACUGUCGGGCCAGCUGCAUCUGCAAGAGCCAUAAGACUGGUAAAAUGUCCCCUUGGGAACCUUUCAGAAUCCAUGACGAGCUCACUAAACUUGGAGAAAUCAGCGGAAGCUCUGGAUUUCGCAGCACUAGCCUUGUUCAAAUCAACGGUAUUUACUGAACCAGAAGAUGCUACUGUUCUCCCAUAAGCUUGAGUUUCCUUUUGAAGCCCAGUUGAAAAUCCAUCCGGCACAAAACAAUUUGCUUGGCCCGGCUGAUUUUCUUGUUUUUCCUCACAGAUCGGCUGCUUUUCUGGUGGAA